AACGAACGCUGGCGGCAGGCCUAACACAUGCAAGCCGAGCGCCCUUUCGGGGGAGCGGCGGACGGGUGAGUAACGCGUGGGAAUAUGCCCUUCUCUACGGAAUAGCCUCGGGAAACUGAGAGUAAUACCGUAUACGCCCUGUGGGGGAAAGAUUUAUCGGGGAAGGAUUAGCCCGCGUUGGAUUAGGUAGUUGGUGGGGUAAUGGCCUACCAAGCCGACGAUCCAUAGCUGGUUUGAGAGGAUGAUCAGCCACACUGGGACUGAGACACGGCCCAGACUCCUACGGGAGGCAGCAGUGGGGAAUCUUAGACAAUGGGGGCAACCCUGAUCUAGCCAUGCCGCGUGAGUGAUGAAGGCCUUAGGGUUGUAAAGCUCUUUCAGCUGGGAAGAUAAUGACGGUACCAGCAGAAGAAGCCCCGGCUAACUCCGUG
rnacentral:rRNA from 1 species